GUAUGGGUUUCCAGUAUUUAACUAUUUUUGGUUGAAACUUGGCUUCGUGCUUCCUAAAUUUAUCAUAUAUAAUGAAUAUAUUUAAUUAGUGCCCCAUAUGUUGUGUGAAUUCUUGUUUUUUCAUUCAUGCUUCUUAUGUGCUACCAUCCUAAUUUCAUAAUGCUUCGUCGUUACUCUUUAGAGGUCUGGCUGAACACCAUGCAUUCAAAGUGCUUGGAACACUAUAUAUGACAGCUUUAUUAGUAUUCUUGCCAUGCUUCCAGCUUAACAAAUACAUGUUCCAAGCUGCAUACAUGCUUCGUACCUGCGUCGUACAAACUGCAUACAUGCUUCACGCCCAUUUUUGUCAAUGUAACUUCCUGCAGGUUGUUGAAUGCAUGGUGUUUCCUCGGAGAUCUGAACAGUAGCAUCGAAGCAUUAACAAAUUAAAUACCCAGAUGUUCGAAGCUGCAUACAUGCUCUGUGCCUGUGUCGUACAUACUGCAUACAUGCUUCGUGCCCAUCUUUAUCAAUGCAAGCUAAUGUGGUGCCAUUUGAUCUAUAUUUAUGUCCUAUAAAUGAAUAAAUACCUGAAAUCAAAGACCUCACCAUUCUGCUCAUCCUCCGGGUGCAUGGGGUUGGCGGAAGCAUGUUUCAUAUGAUCAUAUCUUUGGAAGCAAGCCUUAAUUUCUUGGGAAGUGUCUAUGUCUCCAUAGUAGCCUGCGUCGGGACCUAGAAGAAGCACCCUCGCACAUGGAUUUCUGUAGGAGAACGCAAAGGUGGAUCGCUUGGUUUUCUAGGAAAGCAUGAUUAUGGACGUCCUCAACAUUGAGAUCCAAAAGGUUACUGAUUUCGUAGAAGCACGCACUUUACAAGGGCGACGAGCUGGUGACUCCACGCUCCAUCGAUGGUGUCCGAUGAUUUGCUGCUGAUCUUAGGUAUGGGCCUGGUGAUGGUUGCCGACACCGUGAAUUGGUGUACCCAUUCUGAUGAAGUCCAAAUCUUCAGAACAACGAGUAAUGGGUGGUCGCACGACGGCGGUCUCAUUUGCCGACAACGUGCUCAUGUCUUCGCCAGAUAGUUGAUUCUUUGUCCUUGCAACAUACAGUGGAUAUGAAGCUUUGGUUUGUAAUAGGAAGCACUUAGUUCGUGAUCCAUUACCAUUUGAAACAUAGUUUACAGGAGGAAAUCUGGCAUUCAAUGGUAGCAAACUUUCAUUUCCUUGGAAGCACAUCCAUAAUUCAUUUGAAGCACUUGUAAUACUCUUUUAUGUGGGAGCAUAUUUCUAUUUUCAUUAGAAUCCA